rnacentral:rRNA from 1 species
UAUUAUUUUAUAUGUAUUAUAUAAUCUUGAGUAGUACUAGUUAAGAUCUAAAAACUUAAAGAAUUUGGCGGUGCUUUAGUCUUUUCAGAGGAAUCUGUCCUGUAAUUGAUAAUACACGUGUUAUUUUAUUUAUUUAAUUUGUUUGUAUACCGCCGUCAUAAGAAUAUUUUAAUAAGGUUAAAAAUUUUCUUUAAUUUAGAUUAAAAUUUAUGUCAGGUCAAGGUGCAGCUUAUAAUUAAGGUGGUGAUGGAUUACAAUAAAUUUAUUUAUAUGGAUAUUGAAUAUGAAGUGUUUAAUUGAAAGUGGAUUUGAUUGUAAAUUUAUUAUUAUUAAUAUUUUGAUUUUGGCUCUAGAGUGUGUACAUAUCGCCCGUCGCUCUCGUUUAUAAUGAG